rnacentral:rRNA from 1 species
CAGUAGCCGCGGUAAUACGUAGGUGGCAAGCGUUGUCCGGAAUUAUUGGGCGUAAAGGGCUCGCAGGCGGUUUCUUAAGUCUGAUGUGAAAGCCCCCGGCUCAACCGGGGAGGGUCAUUGGAAACCGGGAAACUUGAGUGCAGAAGAGGAGAGUGGAAUUCCACGUGUAGCGGUGAAAUGCGUAGAGAUGUGGAGGAACACCAGUGGCGAAGGCGACUCUCUGGUCUGUAACUGACGCUGAGGAGCGAAAGCGUGGGGAGCGAACAGGAUUAGAUACCCCCGUAGUCCCUGUCUCUUAUAC